GACGAACGCUGGCGGCGUGCUUAACACAUGCAAGUCGAACGGUAAGGCCCUUUCGGGGGUACACGAGUGGCGAACGGGUGAGUAACACGUGGGUGAUCUGCCCUGCACUUUGGGAUAAGCCUGGGAAACUGGGUCUAAUACCGGGUAGGACUACGCGAUGCAUGUCGUGUGGUGGAAAGCUUUUGCGGUGUGGGAUGGGCCCGCGGCCUAUCAGCUUGUUGGUGGGGUGAUGGCCUACCAAGGCGACGACGGGUAGCCGGCCUGAGAGGGUGUCCGGCCACACUGGGACUGAGAUACGGCCCAGACUCCUACGGGAGGCAGCAGUGGGGAAUAUUGCACAAUGGGCGCAAGCCUGAUGCAGCGACGCCGCGUGGGGGAUGACGGCCUUCGGGUUGUAAACCCCUUUCAGCACAGACGAAGCGUAAGUGACGGUAUGUGCAGAAGAAGCACCGGCCAACUACGUG
rnacentral:rRNA from 1 species